UCCCUGAGACCCUAACUUGUGAUGUCCAUGGCUCACAGGUUAGGAUCUUGGGAGCU
rnacentral:pre_miRNA from 1 species